ACUCAGAAUUAUAGAGUCCUUUGCCUACAAUGCAAGGAUGAAUCGUGGAUAGUUCUUUAACUAUGACUUGCACAGCACACCAGCACUCUCACCCGAGUUAGUGCACAUGAGCAGCUCAGCUCACUUCUUCCAUAGCAGCAUUCAAGCUUUUCACUCUGAAAAUCAAUCCAAACUAUCUGACAUUCAUCAGCGUCAUAUGAAAAUAACAGAAAAUACUUCUACAGCUCUCAGGUGACAGAAGUGUUGUAAGAAGAAGAGGUGGAGUAACUGGGAGACUUGAACAAAAGGCUUUCCUUGACAGAGGAUGCAGCAACGACAGUAUGAGACUUUAACAUGAACAGUUUCUAUUAUAAAUAUGUGUGGAAAUUUAUAAUGGGAAAAUUUGACAAAUAAAAUGACGAGCAAAGCACUGCGAGAACAAGUAAAGCUCUGUAUGUAAGAUGUGAAUGCCAAUGUAAAUGUGAUAGAUUAGAGGUAAAUAUGUAAUCCAUAACUGCACAAGAAUGUAGAUCCUUAUAUUUUGCAAACUAAGAUAAAGUGUGCAUAUAAAAUCCGUAAAUUCUUAUGCUGAACCAAUAAGGACUUCAAACCCUCACAUGGGCUGGACAUUUCUAACACAGCAAUGAAAAUUGUUAUUGCAUGGCCCCUGUAGGGAACUUGCACAAAGAUUCAGUUCUUACAGGUUAAGUGAGAUAAAUUAGCAUACUGGAGACACACUGUUCUCAGCAAGUGGCCUGGAGUGCACCACUGACUGGCAGCUGCAACAGCCGUCAGAACUGGAUCCACUCGGUAAUUACCAGUUCGGAAAUGUCUUUGCCGUGAUUGUGACAGACAGUAACCAACUGUGCUUUGAUUGCGAAGAGGAAUGGGCAAGGCGGACCCUGGAGAGUAAAACCCACGUACAACCAGCUGCAACCUGCAGGUCACACUACCAUGUUAGCAAAAUGAUGUUAUUCAAUAUUUGCCAAACAUUGAAGUGAUUCAUCACCGCGCAUAAGUGGAUCUAAAAUUUCUAUAAUGGCCUGCACAAGAUUAACAGUAGGUAUCGGGUUCCACUGUGCUGACCCAGUUGGGAAACAAAACAGUGUGGUGCCAGUUGGAAAGGCGCACACAGCAGUGGCUCCUUUCAAAUAUCAGCUCUCCAUAAUAGGAGGAGAAAGGAAAUUGCACACUCAGAAUUUGGUGAACUCCUUAGAAAUUGCAUUACGUCGGUUUAUCCCAAAAGGUGUGCCAGUGACAUAUACUGAGUGCAGGUCAGGGUGCUUUGACCAAGGAGGGUGAUAUUAACAAUAAAUAUUUUUCCCUGGAAUUAUUCAGAAGUUUGCCCCUCUCCCUCAAAUCUUGUGUUCUGGAAGGAGAAAAUAAAAGGUGAAGGUGUACCAUAUACAAGUAGUUUUUCUAUAACGUGACGGUGCAACUCCACAUUAAAGAAAAAUCGCACAGCGCUUAGUGUUGGCGAUGUAAUCGCGUAACAGCCAACACAUGUUUUAAAAGUUAGCGCUAUAGAAACAGUGUCCCCAAUUUGGCAAUCGCGGUACAGCAAACUUACAUCGACAACACGUGUUGUAGCAGCAGGACCUGUAAAUCAUACACUGCAGUUUCAUAUUGUC